UUUUUCUCUUUGUCUUAAAUUAACUCUUACAGAGUUCUAAAAUAAUCCAAGCCUAUGUAGAAGCAGAUUGGGUAAAAAUUUGAAUUGAGUGCUCUUAAAGGGACACUAUGGGCACUCAAACCACUUCACCAUAAUUAAGUGGUGCGGGUGCCAUGUCCCCUCAUUUUAACACUAUCCUUUAAAUCCAAAAGGCUCAUCACAAAGCCAGAAUCUG